rnacentral:rRNA from 1 species
GACGAACGCUGGCGGCGUGCUUAGCACAUGCAAGUCGAACGAUGAAGCUAGAGCUUGCUCUGGUGAAUUAGUGGCGAACGGGUGAGUAACACGUGAGUAACCUGCCCCGAACUCUGGGAUAACCGCUGGAAACGGUAGCUAAUACUGGAUACGACCUACGAAGGCAUCUUCUGUAGGUGGAAAGAAUUUCGGUUCGGGAUGGACUCGCGGCCUAUCAGCUUGUUGGUGAGGUAAUGGCUCACCAAGGCGACGACGGGCAGCCGGCCUGAGAGGGUGACCGGCCACACUGGGACUGAGACACGGCCCAGACUCCUACGGGAGGCAGCAGUGGGGAAUAUUGCACAAUGGGCGCAAGCCUGAUGCAGCAACGCCGCGUGAGGGAUGACGGCCUUCGGGUUGUAAACCUCUUUUAGUAGGGAAGAAGCGAAAGUGACGGUACCUGCAGAAAAAGCACCGGCUAACUACGUGCCAGCCGCCGCGGUAA